GAAGGAAGGAAGGAAGAAAAAAGAAGAGCAGUAGAGAGAAGUUGAAAAUCUGUAAUUGAAAAGGUAAGAGGUGAAGGCACCUGAGAGCAGGGAGGCAGAGGUGCUGGGACUGGAGACAAAUGCAGAGCAGAGGAGAUCUGUGAGGAGCACGUGGACAGAGGGGAGCCAGGAAUUUCUGGGUAAAGUCAAGGCCCAGUGGAGGAGGAGACCACAAACCCAUGGUGGCACCAGUCACAUCAAUCUGCCCAGGAGGAUUUUCCUUCAGGUCCUGGGAGGCAUCACUUUCUCCAUCAGAUAAUCACACACCUUGCAAGCUGCUGCAGGUGAACAUGCCAUCCAAUGACCAGCUUGUUUGCUGCGCCAGCUUCAGCUUCCAGACAAAUCCCAGGGCCACCCUAGCAAUCGGUUCGUCUUCAUCAGACCUCCUGUGUAGCUCAUGAGGAGUGUUCAAUUCUGUUUCUAGCCAGAGCUGAUCUCUUCCAGGCGAUGAAGGCCUGGUCAAAGUGAGUUCCUACCAGUGUCAUUCAGGCACCUCAUCAUUCAUUAUUCAUACAUGAUGUAAAAUACGUGACGCUGCUAGUUUCAGAACGUUCCUACCAAGGUGAAGUGACAGCAACAGAAUUAUAAGCAUAUCCUCUAGAUUCUUCUGGUGUUGACGUUUUUUUGUUAAAAACUUUGACAGGGCUGGGGGUUUAGCUCAGUGGUG